GAUGAACGCUGGCGGCGUGCUUAACACAUGCAAGUCGAGCGAGAAGUUUUAGACGGAUUCUUCGGAUGAAAACUAAAACGGAAAGCGGCGGACGGGUGAGUAACGCGUAGGCAACCUGCCUCAUACAAAGGGAUAGCUUCUGGAAACGGAAAUUAAUACCUUAUAAAACCUUAGGUUCGCAUGAACUAAAGGUCAAAGAUUUAUCGGUAUGAGAUGGGCCUGCGUCUGAUUAGCUAGUUGGUAGGGUAACGGCCUACCAAGGCGACGAUCAGUAGCCGACCUGAGAGGGUGAUCGGCCACACUGGAACGUGAGACACGGUCCAGACUCCUACGGGAGGCAGCAGUGGGGAAUAUUGCACAAUGGGCGCAAGCCUGAUGCAGCAACGCCGCGUGAGUGAUGAAGGCCUUAGGGUCGUAAAGCUCUGUCCUAAGGGAAGAAUAAAUGACGGUACCUUAGGAGAAGCCCCGCUAACU
rnacentral:rRNA from 1 species